CACCCAGCUGUUAUGCCGCUUCUGCCUGCAAGAUGAGAAAGACACCUCCCCUUCCCAGGGGGUGCGUCACCGGAGCAGAUGCCCGGGGCGGUUGGAGGCUCCCGGGCUCCCGCUGACUCAUCAGAAAGGCCUGCCGCGCGGCCCGGGGGGCGGGGGAACGUGGGGGACCGCGGGGAGCUGCCGGGCAGGCGGCAGCCGAGGUCGUUUGAGGCGCGCAGAGCCGGAAAACCCCACGGAGACGGCUGGGCGGGGGCGGGGCGAUCGGCACUGACCAGGUCACCUGCAGCGCGGGCUGACGGCGGGCGACUGAAGGAGGGAGCAAGUCUCCCACCCCCAGCAGCCGGCGGCCGCUUCCGAAGUCUGCCCCCUUCCACUGCGGAGCGGCGCCCCGCGGGCCCCCAGCCAGCGCGCCCGAGGCGCCCCCGCCCCGUGUCGCUCGCGCUGCGUUAUUGGGAGAAGGCGGUUCCUGAGCACCAGCACGGGCCUCGGUGACACCGGAGGUCGCUGGGGUCUUCCCCUUCCCCUUAAGACUCUGGGUCUGUCUGUGGGAAGAGCUUUCAUUCCCCACCCCACUCUAUGCCGACCCUCUCCGGGGGAGGCUCCACUGGCACUGUAGACACCACGUGCUGGGUAAAAAGGCCUGGUCCCAGCGCUUCCCUGUCACUGACUGCUAACCACAAGGCGCCGUGGCACUCAGGAAAUGCGGCAGGGGGGCUGGAGAACUAUCAGGAAGGGGUGUGGGCAGAGAAGAGGCUUCCACCCUGUCUUGGAACACGGACACAGUCCAUGGCAUUCAAAAGAGGUGGGAGGCUCCUCUGUGCACGUGCCUUCCGCCCCCGGGACAGGUGGAGGAGGGGAUUUGACUGGUCCUCACCCUCUGCAUUUAUAGUCUGGGCACACCUUGGGCAGUGCCGCAGGAGGGCGCUGUGGAGUACAGGCACAUGCAGAAGGUGUGGCGAGGGCUUCCUGGUGGAGCUGGCAGUAGGGCAGGGACCUUGAAAAGGAAUGAUUUGAACAGAUCGGAAAAGACAUUCCAGACAGAAACAAAUGCCUGAAACCCAAACCGAGAAGCAGGAAAGAGCAGACUGCGUUCUCGGAAUGGCAGGGAGUCCAGUUUGACUGGAAGACCUGAGGCUCAGAGGCGCAUCACGGCCCAGAUGCAGACCACAGAGGCAGGCACAGUGGCCCAGGAGGACCGAGGACCUGGAGUCACGGGGUUCCGCCCGCUGCCCCUGGGGAACCGAGUCAUGCCAGUUCCCAGACAGAUGAAUUCCUUCCAAGAAUUCCACAGUCCUGCUCAAUCCUAGCCGCCAAGCCUCCUGGCCUUGGAUGGCUGCUGUCUAAUGCAGAUCCUCUUUCAUCCAGAUUUCAAAUAUUUUUCCUAUUCUGUCCUUUGAUCACUAACGUUUAUGUUUAUCUACAUCAGCAUCCCUCAAUCCUGACGGCACUCUGAAAUUAUCUAGGGGUGCUUUAAAAAAGAAAAAUGUUGAUGCAUGGCCCUCCUCCAGGAAAUCUGAUUUUAUUGGUCUGGGGUGGGGCCCAGGCAUCAGCAGACUUUUAAUGAGCAGUUAGAGAGGAGAACCACUGAUGGAGAUGGUCACCAGGGAGUGUCCAGGUCAGACCGCCACAGAAGAGUGCAGCCUCCUGGCCUUCAGACCCAACUGGGACAAACCCUGAGAACAGCCUUGGCAGACCUCCAGGGGCAGCUGGACUCCCUGAGGCUGGAUGUUGCAGCCUCUCCCAGGCAUCCACUCUGCAGCUGAGGCCAAAGUUUCCAACGGGAAGGGAGGGUGAGGCUUCUAUUUGUUUCCCAAGAGCCAGCUGACCUUUGAAGCUAGUGAUAACCACCACAAACCUCACUGGUGGGAGAACGAGGCACUGCAGCCAGUUCUCAUCAACCCCACAUCCCUGCAGGGGGCCCCAAGGCGGAUGUGUCACCAUCCUCUGCAACGCUGGGCCUCAGAGGUGGAGGAGGCCCAGCCAUGGCCAGAUGGGGGAUCUGGGGAACAGGUCCUCUGCUUUCUGGGAAAAUAGAGGAGAGUCUCCGAGUCUGGGCCUUGCCACUCCUCACUCAGCAUCUGACCAUCCCCACCUCCUGGAUCUACAGGGUUCAUAGAGGAGGACCCAGAAGAGGGAAAGUCAGGCUGAGGAACUUGGCCUCCCUGCUGCAAGGGAAAUGACAUCGGUUACCAAGGAGGUGACCAGCUAUCCUUUUCCAAGACUGAAAAGCAGAAAUACGGCCCUGAGGCUAGAGGGUCUAAGAGAACAAUAGGAAGAAUUUCCUGACAAAGGACAAUGUUGCCUAAAGGACUCAGGAAGCUCUGUGAAAACAGGAGACUCCCGAGCAGAGCACCAGACCCUUCUCCACCAGGCAGUGUUUUUCCCAUAUGACAGGUGAGAAAACUGAGGCUGAGAGACAUGUAAUAACUUGCUGAAGCAGCAACCAGCACACCAUAUAGCUGAAAUCUGUAGAUCAGCAGUUAAAAGUGGUAGGGCAAGUCCUCUCUGACUUUCAGCGCUAAGAGCCUAGGAUUCUGUGUUUUUCUGCUUAAGCCUGGGAAUCAGAGUCCUACAAAAGCCGCGCCUAAUCCUGGGGGUGUGGGCUUUAAACCCAGAGAGAAAGCAUGUUAUUGGAAUACUCCUGCACUUUUCUCCCUUUGAAUCCCACCACGGAAAGAAAAUUCUGUGACGUGUACCCAGUAUUUAUUGGAGGGUAUUUCCUAGCAAGAAAAUGAGGGCGAUUGACCAGGCACGGUGGCUCACGCCUGUAAUCCCAGCACUUUGGGAGGUCAAGGUGAGUGGAUCACAUGAGGUCAGGAGUUCGAGACCAGCCUGACCAACAUGGAGAAACCCCGUCUCUACUAAAAAUACAAAAUUAGCCGGGCGUGGGGUGGCGCAUGCCUGUAAUUCCAGCUACUCCUGAGGCUGUGGCAGCAGAAUCGCUUGAACCCGGGAGACAGAGGUUGCAGUGAGUUGAGAUCAAGCCAUCGCACUCCAGCCUGGGCAACAGAGUGAGACUCUGUCAAAAAAGAAAGUGUGGUACAUCUAUACUAAUGGAGUACUAUUUAGCCGUCA
rnacentral:lncRNA from 1 species